rnacentral:rRNA from 1 species
UGAAAACCGGUCUCAGUUCGGAUCGCAGUCUGCAACUCGACUGCGUGAAGGUGGAGUCGCUAGUAAUCGCGGAUCAGCAACGCCGCGGUGAAUGCGUUCCCGGGCCUUGUACACACCGCCCGUCAAGUCAUGAAAGUGGGCAGCACCCGAAGACGGUGGCCUAACCCUUGUGGGGGGAGCCGUCUAAGGUGAGGCUCGUGAUUGGGACUAAGUCGUAACAAGGUAGC